rnacentral:ncRNA from 2 species
UCCACUUGCUAGGGGUGCCGUAAGGCUGAGAAGGAGAAAUCCUAACUCUAUGAACCUGAUGUGGUUAGAACCACCGUAGGGAAGCGAGAGGUCUGUUUU